rnacentral:rRNA from 1 species
UACGUAGGGCGCAAGCGUUGUCCGGAAUUAUUGGGCGUAAAGAGCUCGUAGGCGGUCUGUCGCGUCGGAUGUGAAAGCCCGGGGCUUAACCCCGGGUCUGCAUUCGAUACGGGCAGACUAGAGUGUGGUAGGGGAGAUCGGAAUUCCUGGUGUAGCGGUGAAAUGCGCAGAUAUCAGGAGGAACACCGGUGGCGAAGGCGGAUCUCUGGGCCGUAACUGACGCUGAGGAGCGAAAGCAUGGGGAGCGAACAGG